GGCCCGGUAGCUGAGUGGUCAGCGUGACGGACUGUCAAUUCUAAGGUCCCGGGUUCGAUUCCCGGCUGGGUCG